UCCUUUCCCCUCCCAGAUUCCCUCCCAGCUCUGAGUCAGCGCCUUGUCUUGCUGGAAUCUCACCCAUUGCCUGGUGAAAUGUCGAUGAUGCAUCUGGGUGCUGGUGGCUUCAGAGCAAUGAGAUAAUAACGACCCCCCUCCUGCUGGAAACCCCUGGAGACAGUUUACUGCAGCCAUCCAGCUCUCCACCCAUAGAUCUUUGAUCAUCUAUCACCUGGAGUUCCUGCCAUGGCGCAACAGGAUUGGCAGUGUCUUGGGAGCAGUGGGACGCAGGUUCAAUCCCCAGCCCGGCCCAGUGGGUUAAGGAUCCAGCAGCACUGCAAGUGCGGCCCAAGUGCCAACUGUGGUUCGGAUCUGAUCCCUGCCCGGGGAGCUCCAUAUGCUGAGGGGUGGCCAAAAAAAGAAAAAAAAAAUUAUCUGUCCUCUGUCAUCUUCUAUCCGCCUAAUCUUCCAUUGUCUAUUUUUCUGUCUAUCUCAGGUACCUAUCUACCAAUCACCUCUAUAUCUAUUUAUCAAUCAACCUGUUUACCUAUUAUCUUCUGCAAAUCACGUCUCUAACAUAACUUCAUAUCUAUUAUCUCUCAUCUACCUGUGUAUCCAUCUGUCUACCUACGUGUCCGUUACGUAUCUCUGUCUACUAUCUAUUAUCUAUCCAUCUACCUAUUAUGUGUAUCUAUCUACUUAUCAUCCAUCCAUCCAUCCAGUCCAUCUGUCCAUCUGUCCUACCAACCUGACUAUCUAUUAUGUCUAGCUUGCUAUCUAUCUAUCUAUCCAUCCAUCCAUCCAUCCAUCCACCAUCCAUCUAUCCCUACCAAUCUAUUACCUAUCUAUCAACUACCUAUCAGGUAUGUCUGUCUGUCUAUUCUGUAUAUCUCUGUAUCUGUCAUCUAUCUAUGCACCUACCUGCCUAUCCAUCAACUCCCUGUCCACCUCUUACCCAUCCAUCCAUCUAUCCCUCUAUCAAUCCAUCCAUCCACCCGCCUAUCUCCCUACCAACCUAUCUCUUGUGUAUAUCUAUCCAUCAUCCAUCUCUGUAGCAAACUAUCUAUUAUGUAUAUCUCUGAAUCUAUUUCUCUCUCUAUCAUAUAUAUCUCUGUAUCUGUCUAUCUCUCUACCUACCUACCUGCCUAUUAUCGACUCCCUAUCUAUCUCUUACCCACCCAUCCAUCCAGCAUCUAGAGCAUCUAACACGUGCUCCCUCCCUCCAGCCUGGACACCAGUCCGUAAGUGAAGGCCUCAGCACCCAGGGGCCCUUGACCUUCCAAGCCACACUCCUCCAGAACCCCGGGGACACCCCGGUCUCACCCACCGCCCACUCCCUCUGGGACCCAUCCAUACCCUUCCCGCUUCCUGCGCCCCGGAGCUGCU
rnacentral:lncRNA from 1 species